GACAGCUAAACCUGGAAGGCAGUAAUGAAAACUGUUACCCUUGGCUUAGAGGAGGGGGUGGGCAAUGAAGGGGUUAAGAAACUGUAGGCCGAGAGUCCCUUCUGUCUUUUAUGUGAUGAAACUGUAAUUUUGGUUUGAAAUCACAGGAUCAUCAAGGCUUUGGAGUGUUGGGGGAAUGCUGAUGGGGCUCAGGGGCAAAGAAGUCCCUCGAUUUGAAAUCAGUUCUCUCUUUGAACUGUUUCCCUGUGUUUCUGAUUGUUGGGGCUUGAGGGGACCACCUAAUAAGUUGCAUCUCUCUUUCCCACUAGAGUUCUAAACUCUGCUUGAGAAGUGAACAUGGGCCAUGGAGACCAGACACACCGUGGCCUUUGAAGCCUGGAUAAAGUGAUCCUGGGAAUCUUGACCACUCACUAUUGGUGGCUGCUGGAUUUCUUGCAAAUGAGAAAACGGAGACAGAGAGGUUGUAUUCCUCGUCCAAAAAGACAUGGUAGAAAGCAGAGCUGCUGUGCAGACUCAGUGUACUGAUCCAUCCUGAGGCCUGAAUUCCACAACAGACUGCUGAAUGUGUGAGGUCCUCCUCCGGGGAAACCAGAUCCAAAGUCAACUUCCAUGUCACACCCGUCAAAGGAUUUGCCCCAGCAGUGCCCCAGCCCACGCCUAGGCUCUUAACACCUCACGAUGAGGUUUUCUUUCUCGCACACACUGAGGAAAUCAGGGGAGGCUGUUGAAGCACCCACCGGACGCAAUGCGGCGAUGGUCUGCGUGACCUGCUGAGGUUUCCUGGAGCUGUGGCAGUUGAGAGGUGUGCGCUGUGCCGCUGUCUUCUGAUAGGACCAAGAUGGAAAGAAGGCCAAAGAGGGCUGGCUGAGUGAAGCAGGAUGGACACCUGGACUGCGUGCAGUUGGGCUCAGUGCCAGAGAAGACACAGUAGCUGAGCGGUCAAGGGGACUUUCCCAUUUCACAUCCCACACGCAGUGGACCGGGUGUGCUGCGGGUUGGCGUGUGACCAGUGCAUCUUGACCUGACAGCCCUGCUUCCCUGAUGUGCAGCAGGAAGAUGUGGGGUCUGUAUAACAGGGACGUGAGGACAGAAUGACACAUUCUGCCCUUCCUGACAGGGUAGGGAUGGAUAUAUGUACUUGCAUAUACAUAUGCAUCCCCAAGUACAAUCUGGUGGGUCCGGAUAGUGUGUGAUGUGUACCUGUGUGCGUGUUUUCAGGGCUGACCACUUGACACUGGACAGCGCUUGGCAUGCUCUUCCUUGGUGAGGGUUGCCUCUUUCACUCCCGGCUUUUCCCCGGUUGCCUGCAGUUCUUUGGGUGGAGGCUUCAAGGGCUUUUCCCCAUCCAGUUUGGAAUGCUUGUUGCUGUCCUCCUUGACUUCUGGGUUGGACUGAAGUCUUAUGUGUAAACCUUUAGGAGCUAGAAAAGGUAAAUGACAGCCUUCUUGCUACUGGUGCACUCAGACUCACCAUUUCCUUCUUAAACUGAUACCCUCCUGUGUCCACACUUGGACUUGAAAUCUUCGUUUCCCCCUUCUUCCCCUAGUCCUUUACUCAGAAGCCCAGCUGAUGGUUAGUUUGAAUUGUCAACUUGACAGAAUCUAGACUCACCUGGGAGAAGAGGCUCUGAGAAUGUCUGUGGCCAUUGCCUCAAUUAUCUUCACUGUUGAUGGAGGACCUGCCCACGUUGGGUGGGACUAUUCCCUUGGCUCACAGGAGUACUGGACUGUAUACAGAUGGAAAAGCCAACUUGUCAAUAGCAUGCACGUACUGAUUUAUUGCUGUUUGGUCUUGACUAUGGCUAUGAUGUAACCAGUUGCUUCAAGGUCCUGCUGCCUUGACUUCCAUAAAGUUGUGAGUCAAAUAAACCCUUUCUCCCGUAA